rnacentral:rRNA from 1 species
CGGAGGAUCCAAGCGUUUAUCCGGGAAUCAUUGGGUUUAAAGGGUCCGUAGGCGGUUUUGUAAGUCAGUGGUGAAAGCCCAUCGCUCAACGGUGGAACGGCCAUUGAUACUGCAAGACUUGAAUUACUAGGAAGUAACUAGAAUAUGUAGUGUAGCGGUAGAAAUGCUUAGAUAUUACAUGGAAUACCAAUUGCGAAGGCAGGUUACUACUAGUGGAUUGACGCUGAUGGACGAAAGCGGUGGGGAGCGAACAGGAUUAGACUACCCUGGUAGUCCACGACCGUAAACGAUGGAUACUAGCUGUUCGAGAGCAAUCUUGAGUGGCUAAGCGAAAGUGAUAAGUAUCCCACCUGGGGAGUACGAACGCAAGUUUG